CGUUUAACAGGUGCCUGGAGACUUUAAAGAUCACUGCCUAAGUUGGUGGUGAAACGUCAUUGCUGUUGAUCAGGUGAUGACGUUAAUGCCUCAAAUCAGGUGUUGGUUUGAGGGAUUCCGGGUUUAAGGAAUCGCAUUAUGUUUGCUUCUGGUGAUCAGGAAGUGAAGGGAGUCAGAGUUCAUAAGUUGAAAUCUGCAAUGUGCUUUGAUCGGUGUUUGAGAAGCACAUCAGGAAUGGAGAUCUUCAAAGUUUCUUUUAGCUGGAACUGAAAGAAAUCGAAACCAAGGAGGAGAUUUGUGAGAAAUUGGUUCUCGGUUUAAUACUUUGGUCCAGCUAAAUUAAGAACGGUUGAGCUGGUUAUGAGUCCAACAGAGAGUAUUGGGCCAAGGUGAAACGGUGUGGCCCAAAGGCAAGCGAUCAGGUCGUUUUGGAGAAAGGAUAAGCUUUAACAAACUCUAACGUCUAUAUUUAGUUAGUUUGUCUCUCUCCUUGAUCUGUAAUCUUAGAACGAGAAAUCUCUCUGUAACUCGAAGCUCGUAUAGUGGAUUUCCAGGUGCUGUUCCUGAAGAGAGAUGUACCCAGGUUUCGGGGAACUCUAUACGUGCGUGUGUUGUUAGUUUUCCUUCCACAAGCUAAAACCAGCGAAUCGAGAGAGAGAGAGUGAGCUAAGAUCGAAGUAGAUUGGAUCGAACAAAUCGAGUCGAAUCGAUAACAUAGAUCAUUCUCGGGUAUUUUUGUUCUUAGGGACUGAGUAUUAGUGUAUGACACAUGUCUAUUUCACAUUGAGUAUUGCCAAUGAAUCUAUCAAGGUAAUUUCUCGUAUACUCUAGCUACUACAGUAUAUCGCUUCCCUAGAAAAUAGCGGCUUCCAGAAUAUUGGGGGAAACGGGGUUUUCCUGUGUUGACAAAGAGCGAGAAUCAAAGAUAUGUUCUUUUUUAAUUAAUUUAGUAAUGUGCUAUGUUGGUAUAUGCGUAGAUUGGGUGUGUGCACUUGUGUAUCCAUUGAUUCUCAAGGCUUUCAAAUUGUUGCAGCUUGGUUAUACUGAGGAGUUGUUCUGAAGUCCGAGAAGCGUAUCCCUUUGCGCCUCGUCUUUGUAUUAACAGUCUUGCUAUGUUCAGCAAAAUCCAACUGGUUGAUUCCGAUUCAUUCAACUUUCCAUUGUAAGCAUCUUAGAUGUAAUUUUUUGUUUUUAUCUGUCUUUAUUGGGUUCUAUUUGCAUCAGAAACUUAAUCUUGGUGAGGCAUGAGUCAUAAAGGUAUAAAACAAAAGUAAAAUCAUUUUAAGUUUACCAAUAAUAAUAGUCACACACUACUUUGUCAGUCUCUCUUUUAAUCUUCAGAAGCGGAGCAGUAUGGAGAAGACAAUGGCAAUUGAUGACCAUAUAGGUUGUCCAAUGAGUUAUCUGAUUGCUGAAGCACGCACGAGUGAAGACUCAAGUGACAUCUCAGUUUUUGCUUCUCGUGGUUCCUUUCUUACAUCAAUAUGUUACCAACUAUUUUUUGUUUCUCUGUAGCCUAGAACCACAGCUUCUCGUAUGGUGAGCCAAUGAAUGUAGAAUCUACAAGACAAGCUUUGUGUGAUAUGGCGUUACGGUUUGGUGAAGGACGUGAAGAGUCAAUGCCGGUGAGCCACGAGGAUGGAAUGUCUGUCGAGACGGUUUUUGGGAGAAAAAAAGCCCCUUUCAGUAAGGCCUUUCCAAUCACAAAUUUUUUUACUGACACUAAUACUCAGUAUCACUGGUACCGAAGUCCAUUUACGAUCCGUCAUCUAAAGGAAAUGGUAUAGUCUUUUCUUGACCCAAAGACCACAGCUAAGAUUCAGGUUCUUGGCAACCAAUACCAAAGCAAACUGCUAGAAAUCAUUCACGCCAAGUGCUAACUUGAUAACUCUUUACAUGUGACUUUGGAACUGUUGUUUUAUCUUCAGAUAAGCAUCUAAAGACUCUCUUCUCAUUGUUUGUUUAGUGAACUGCCUUUGUGGGUGGUACUUGUACCUGCGCAGCAGUGCCGGUUCGAAAAAAUUUGAGACCCUGUGCUGCUAAUUUAUAAUAGACUUUAUAAUAUGUAAUUUUUAAAAUAUUUAUAUGGUAAACUAAUAAAAAUAUUUAUCAUAUAUAUAAGUGAGAAGUGAGUAAACAAUCACUUGAAUAAUUAAUUUAAUAAUUUAAUAUUAAACACUUUAACCAUCAAAAAUAUAUGAAAAGAAUUAUCAAAAACUAAAUAUAUACGUUAUAAACCAUUUAUAAACAAUGAGAAUAAAAUUAAUUAUGAUAAAAAAAGUUUCUGUAAAAACCUUCUAUUAUACACUUGACAUUACAUGUUGUACUUAAAAUUUGUUUAUAUUUUUUUCAUAAUUUUUUUUAAAAACAAAUGUUUUAAAAAACUAUAAUAAACCUCAAAUCAUAUUGGACUCUGUGAUGUAUAUCAUGUCACACGUGCUAAAUGCCGGCCCUGCUGCGCAGAUAAAGAUGAAUCUAUGCAUUCAGACAAAGGUUCAUGGAACGACCCCGAGAUCUUAAUACAUGGAAGUCGAAAACGUUGCAAGUAAGACGGCAGUCUUUUAUCCUGUAUUGCCUUCUUCGGAAAUGAAUGUUGUGUAUGGUUGACAGCUGUUUUGUGAUUCUUCACAAUUUUGCUUACAAUA